GUUGCCUAAGUUAGAACAUGCACCGCUGCUGCCCAGGCUCCAAUAAGGGCAGGGUUGGCGCGUGUGGGCUUCUCUAAAGGGAAACAUGGCCAGUAAUUUUAAAAUCCAUCCCCUCUUCAAUGAUAGCAAAUAUAAAAGCAACGGGCUGCAAGGUACACGUAUGUUUAAUGAAAAAUGGAGGGACGUGGUCACAUUAGAUGAAUCUGUACCUUGGGACCACCACACCGUUAAUAUAUAAGACUGGAUUACAAUUAAAGGAUGAGGAAGCUU
rnacentral:lncRNA from 10 species